rnacentral:rRNA from 1 species
AUUGAACGCUGGCGGCAGGCCUAACACAUGCAAGUCGAACGAGUGGCGGACGGGUGAGUAAUGUCUGGGAAACUGCCUGAUGGAGGGGGAUAACUACUGGAAACGGUAGCUAAUACCGCAUACAAUCAGAUGUGCCCAGAUGGGAUUAGCUUGUUGGUGGGGGAACGGCGCACCAAGGCGACGAUCACGAGCUGGUCUGAGAGGAUGACCAGCCACCCGGGAACUUAGACACGUUCCAGCCUCCUACGGGAGGCAGCAGUGGUGAAUAUUGCACAAUGGGCGCAAGCCUGAUGCAGCCAUGCCGCGUGUAUGAAGAAGGCCUUCGGGUUGUAAAGUACUUUCAGCGGGGAGGCGUUACCCGCAGAAGAAGCACCGGCUAACUCCGUGCCAGCCGCCGCGGUAAUUC